rnacentral:rRNA from 1 species
GACGAACGCUGGCGGCGUGCUUAACACAUGCAAGUCGAACGGAAAGGCCCUGCUUUUGUGGGGUGCUCGAGUGGCGAACGGGUGAGUAACACGUGAGUAACCUGCCCUUGACUUUGGGAUAACUUCAGGAAACUGGGGCUAAUACCGGAUAGGAGCUCCUGCUGCAUGGUGGGGGUUGGAAAGUUUCGGCGGUUGGGGAUGGACUCGCGGCUUAUCAGCUUGUUGGUGGGGUAGUGGCUUACCAAGGCUUUGACGGGUAGCCGGCCUGAGAGGGUGACCGGCCACAUUGGGACUGAGGUACGGCCCAGACUCCUACGGGAGGCAGCAGUGGGGAAUAUUGCACAAUGGGCGGGAGCCUGAUGCAGCAACGCCGCGUGCGGGAUGACGGCCUUCGGGUUGUGAACCGCUUUCGCCUGUGACGAAGCGUGAGUGACGGUAAUGGGUGAAGAAGCACCGGCUAACUACGUG